GGAGAGUUUGAUCCUGGCUCAGGAUGAACGCUAGCGGCAGGCUUAACACAUGCAAGUCGAGGGGCAGCAUAAUGGAUAGCAAUAUCUAUGGUGGCGACCGGCGCACGGGUGCGUAACGCGUAUGCAACCUACCUUUAACAGGGGGAUAACACUGAGAAAUUGGUACUAAUACCCCAUAAUAUCAUAGAAGGCAUCUUUUAUGGUUGAAAAUUCCGAUGGUUAGAGAUGGGCAUGCGUUGUAUUAGCUAGUUGGUGGGGUAACGGCUCACCAAGGCGACGAUACAUAGGGGGACUGAGAGGUUAACCCCCCACACUGGUACUGAGACACGGACCAGACUCCUACGGGAGGCAGCAGUGAGGAAUAUUGGUCAAUGGACGCAAGUCUGAACCAGCCAUGCCGCGUGCAGGAAGACGGCUCUAUGAGUUGUAAACUGCUUUUGUACGAGGGUAAACGCAGAUACGUGUAUCUGUCUGAAAGUAUCGUACGAAUAAGGAUCGGCUAACUCCGUGCCAGCAGCCGCGGUAAUACGGAGGAUCCAAGCGUUAUCCGGAUUUAUUGGGUUUAAAGGGUGCGUAGGCGGUUUGAUAAGUUAGAGGUGAAAUUUCGGGGCUCAACCCUGAACGUGCCUCUAAUACUGUUGAGCUAGAGAGUAGUUGCGGUAGGCGGAAUGUAUGGUGUAGCGGUGAAAUGCUUAGAGAUCAUACAGAACACCGAUUGCGAAGGCAGCUUACCAAACUAUAUCUGACGUUGAGGCACGAAAGCGUGGGGAGCAAACAGGAUUAGAUACCCUGGUAGUCCACGCAGUAAACGAUGAUAACUCGUUGUCGGCGAUACACAGUCGGUGACUAAGCGAAAGCGAUAAGUUAUCCACCUGGGGAGUACGUUCGCAAGAAUGAAACUCAAAGGAAUUGACGGGGGCCCGCACAAGCGGAGGAACAUGUGGUUUAAUUCGAUGAUACGCGAGGAACCUUACCCGGGCUUGAAAGUUAGCGACGAUUCUUGAAAGAGGAUUUCCCUUCGGGGCGCGAAACUAGGUGCUGCAUGGUUGUCGUCAGCUCGUGCCGUGAGGUGUCGGGUUAAGUCCCAUAACGAGCGCAACCCCUACCGUUAGUUGCCAUCAGGUCAAGCUGGGCACUCUGGCGGGACUGCCGGUGUAAGCCGAGAGGAAGGUGGGGAUGACGUCAAAUCAGCACGGCCCUUACGUCCGGGGCUACACA
rnacentral:rRNA from 1 species